UGCAUAAUAUAAAAUUUAUCAUUUUGACAAUUUUUACAAUUUGGUGUUAAAUACAUUCACAUUGUUGUACAACCAUCACCACCAUCUACCUCUAGAACUUUCUCAUCUUCCCAAGCUGAAACUCUGUCCCCAUUAACCACUAACUCCCCACUCCUCGCUCCCUCCAGACCCUGGCAAGCACCCUUCUAUUUUCUGUCCUUUAGAGGCCCAGUUUGAUUUAAAGGUUUAAACUCAAACCAGACAGUUGAACUCUCUGAGCUCACAGACCGGCUCUUUCCCUUCCCAGCUGUGUGACUUUAUCUCAUUUCUUCAUCUAUAAAAUGGAGGCCACACUUUUACCUCUCACAUGGGGCUGAGAGAGGAUUAAAUGGUCAAUAUUUCCAAAGGCCCGAGGCUACUGCUGGUGUAAGAUAAAGGAAGUGGAUUUGGACUGAGGGUGCCUGGAGGACUCUGAGAAAGGGCUCUGACAAAUGAACUUCCCCAAAGCAAACCCUCUUUCCCGUCUGUGUUAAAGUUGGUGAAGAUAAAGAUGGUUUUCUAGAUAGUGGCUCUGGGGACACACUGAAGACUCAAAGAUUAAAAUGUCACCAUGUUUCAGCCUGUUUCAGCUUCUACUCAGCUAUGACACUGCUUUUAUUUACCACUGCACUGUUUUCUUCAUUGGGCUGUGAGGGUGGGCAUGGGGACCUGUUAUUCAUUUCUGUUCCUGCUGGUGCCUGGCAUGUAAUGGGCACAUGUUUUUUGGGUGAAUGAAUGGAUAACUGAAGGGACGGAAGGGGGAGGGAGUGUGUGUUACCUCUCUUUGCUCCCUCUAAGACCUCCCCACCCGUCCAUCCUUGCUUUGCCAGACCCUUGGCUAAGAAAAUGCCAGCCAACACUGUGUUCUCAAGUGACUCUCAGUUCUUAGAAACAAAAUGAUGGAAUUUCAGUAUUGGAAAAAUGCUUAGACAUGACCUCAUCCCUACCCAAGCUGGUUCAUGAAUCAUCCCCAUAAAAUUCCUGGCAUGCCAAUUAAAACCAUUCAGCUGUUCAUUCAUUCUUUCAUUUUGCUGAACAUUUGUUAGGUACCUAUAUCGUUCUGGAGGCAAGGAAGGAUGACGAUGACAAUGAUGACCUUGGCCUCAACGAGUCUGCAUUUGUUUAGAUAUGGAUUAAGCUGAUGAACCAAAGGAAUCCCCAAAUUCAAAACAUAGUCAUGCAUUGCUUAAUGACGGGGAUACAUUCUGAGAAACGUGUGUUGGGCAAUUUCAGCAUUGUGCAAACAUUGCUGCACAAAUCAUAGAGAAUACUUACACAGCCCUAGGUGGUGAAGCCUACUAUAUGCCUAGGCUGCAUGGUCUAGCCUACUGCUACUAGGCUACAAACCUGUGCAGCAUGCUACUGUACUGAACACCAUAGGCAACUGUAACACAAUGCAUUUGUUAACACAAAGUAUUCGUGUAUCUAAAUCUAUCUAAAUACAGAAAAGGGACUAUAAAAAUAAGGUAUAAAAUAAACAAUAAUAAACUUGGAUAGGGUACUUACAAUGAAUGGAGCUUGCAGGACUGGAGAGUUGCUCUGGAUGAGUGAGUAGCUGGUGAGUGAAUGGGAAGGCCUAGGACAUGACUGUAUUAUACUUUAGAUUUCAGAAACUCUGUACACUUUGGCUACACUCAAUUUAUAAAAACAUAUUUUAUUUCUUUAAUAAUAAAU
rnacentral:lncRNA from 1 species